UACGUAGGGUGCGAGCGUUAAUCGGAAUUACUGGGCGUAAAGUGUGCGCAGGCGGCCGCGCAAGUCGAGUGUGAAAGCCCCGGGCUUAACUUGGGAAUUGCGCUCGAAACUACGUGGCUGGAGUAUGGCAGAGGAAGGUGGAAUUCCACGUGUAGCGGUGAAAUUCGUAGAUAUUGGGAAGAACACCGGUGGCGAAGGCGGCGAGCUGGUCCAUUACUGACGCUGAGGCGCGAAAGCGUGGGGAGCAAACAGG
rnacentral:rRNA from 1 species